rnacentral:rRNA from 1 species
AUUGAACGCUGGCGGCAGGCUUAACACAUGCAAGUCGAGCGAGGGGCAGACGGGUGUAUAAUGUCUGGGAAACUGCCUGAUGGAGGGGGAUAACUAGUGAAAACGGUAGCUUAUACCGCAUACCAUCAGAUGUGCCCAUAGGGGAUUAGCUAGGAGGUGGGGUAAUGGCUCACCUAGGCGACGCUCCCUCGCUGGUCUGAGAGGAUGACCAGCCAAACUGGAACGGAGACACGGUCCAGACUCCUACGGGAGGCAGCAGUGGGGAAUAGUGCACAAUGGGCGCAAGCCUGAUGCAGCCAUGCCGCGUGUGUGAAGAAGGCCUUCGGGUUGGAAAGCACUUUCAGCGAGGAGGCGUUACUCACAGAAGAAGCACCGGCUAACUCCGUGCCAGCAGCCGCGGUAAUUC